rnacentral:rRNA from 1 species
AGCAGCCGCGGUAAUUCCAGCUCCAAUAGCGUAUAUUAAAGUUGUUGCAGUUAAAAAGCUCGUAGUUGAAUUUCGGGGUCAGUAAGUUGGUCGUGCCACUGGUAUGUACUGGCUUUACUGAUUCCUCCUUCUUGUAGAACCGUAAUGCCAUUAAGUUGGUGUUGCGGGAAAACAGGACUGUUACUUUGAAAAAUUAGAGUGUUUAAAGCAAGCUAACGCUUGAAUACAUUAGCAUGGAAUAAUGAAAUAGGACGAACGAUCCUAUUUUGUUGGUUUCUAGGAUUGACGUAAUGAUUAAUAGGGAUAGUUGGGGGCAUUAGUAUUCAAUUGUCAGAGGUGAAAUUCUUGGAUUUAUUGAAGACUAACUACUGCGAAAGCAUUUGCCAAGGAUGUUUUCAUUAAUCAAGAACGAAAGUUAGGGGAUCGAAGACGAUCAGAUACCGUCGUAGUCUUAACCAUAAACUAUGCCGACUAGGGAUCGGAUGAUGUUAAUUUUUUAAUGACUCAUUCGGCGCCUUAC